CUUUGCUGGAAGUUGCGUAUAUAAAGGAAUGAAGUAGCUACAAAAGAAGAUAGAAAAAGUUUGGUUAUAGCCGACAUCAUCAAUAGAAAAGGCAACUUUUCAAACGAAGUUUGUGGAGUGGGGUCAUCCUCCAGUUGGAUGUUGCUCUCUAACUUUACCUCAUUUAUAUGGUCGUUCACAGGUGAAUUUCCUUUAAAUCAGGCCUUGUCUGUUAUUCUAUGCAGCACGAAACUCGACUGCUACAUGGCAAAGGAACGCGGAAUUGUCGCAGAAAUUUUAUCUUUCAAACAUUUGGAGGAGGAACUCAAUUAACGUAUGCUGAGAUUUUCACUAGUUUCUAGACAGUGCCUGCGAGACACAAAGACGUUGAUGGUCAGCAGUAAUAUGAAGAACUUGAGUUUAAAAAUCACGAGGAAUGCGAUUUGUUUCAAAAGUACAUCAGCAACGAUGAUAUUGUGGAUUGCAUCGUAAGUUGAUGGUGGACGAGCUUACAGGAAUGACUUACCAUCCAGGUAUACUUGCGAUCAGACUUAUGGCUCGUGCUAAUAUUUAUUGUACAAAUAGGAUAGUGUGUCCCAAUGAUCCGUUUGUAACCGUUACGCAGCGGAAAUUGUAUUCCUAAUGAUCCGUUUGUAACCUUUACGCAGCGGAAUUUGUAGCGUUGUUUGUGUAAAUCAUUCGUAACUUGAGUUGAAUAACAAAACAUAUUCGUUCAUUUAA